rnacentral:rRNA from 1 species
AACGGCGAGUGAAGCGGGAAGAGCUCACGUUGUGAAUCUGGCCCUCGGGCCCGAACUGUACUCUGGAGAGGCGAGGCCAGCCGCUGUCCGCGGCCAAGUCUGAUUGGAAAUGAGCAUCAAGGAGGGUGACAAUCCCGUCCAUGCCGCGGUAUCGAUCAGCGCGCGUCCGGCCCGCUUUCGACGAGUCGAGUUGCUUGGGAUUGCAGCUCAAAGAGGGUGGUAAACUCCAUCCAAAGCUAAACACGGGGGGGAGACCGAUAGCGAACAAGUACCGUGAGGGAAAGAUGCAAAGAACUUUGAAAAGAGAGUUAAAGAGUGCCUGAAAUUGCUGGAAGGGAAGCGAAGGAAAGAAGUGUGCGGUUGCCCGGGCGCCAACCCCUACCUGUCCGCAGGUGGGGGUAGGCCGCCCGGCCGCGGUCAGGGGUUGCGCCGGGCUCGGGGGAAGAGCCGUCGGGGAUCGGUAGGCGUGCCGCCGCUUCGGCGGGGGGGCGCUGUCAGGCCCCGGUGGUGGUUGCCCUGAGCCCGGCCCCCUUCUGGCGGUCGCGGCUUUUCUUCACCCCGU